AAGGUUUCCAGGGGAAGGUUCGUCCGCCCUGGGUUAGUCGGGACCUAAGCUGAGGCCGAAAGGCGUAGGUGAUGGACAACAGGUUGAUAUUCCUGUACUACCGAUAACCGUUUGAGAGAAGGGAUGACACAGUAGGAUAAGCUAAGCACACUGUUGGUUAUGUGUGCCCAAGCAUUGAGGCGGUCAAAGUAGGCAAAUCCGCUUUGAUAAUGCUGGGAUGUGAUGGGGAGCGAAAUUUAGUAGCGAAGUAGCUGAUUUCACACUGUCAAGAAAAGUCUCUAUCGAGGUUAAAGGUACCCGUACCGCAAACCGACACAGGUGGGUGAGGAGAGUAUCCUAAGGCCAGCGAGAGAACUG
rnacentral:rRNA from 1 species